rnacentral:rRNA from 1 species
UACGUAGGGCCAAGCGUUGUCCGGAUUUAUUGGGCGUAAAGAGCUCGUAGGCGGUUCGGCAAGUCGAAUGUGAAAUCUCCACGCUCAACGUGGAGGGUCAUUCGAUACUGCCGUGACUUGAGUACGGUAGGGAGUGUGGAAUUCCGGUGUAGCGGUGAAAUGCGCAGAGAUCGGGAAGGAACACCGGUGGCGAAGGCGGCUACCUGGACAGAAACUGACGCUGAGGCGCGAAGCUAGGGGAGCAAACAGGAU